UGAGUUGAGUUGAGUUGAGUAUUGGCCGAGAUAAAAAAGGGAAAAAGUAAAUUUUUAUCAAGAAAAUGAGAAAGAAAGCAACAGGGAAGAAAGAGAGGAAGUGGAGGCAUGGAUAGAUUGGAGGAGCAAGUUCAAUACAAUUUCUAUGGGUAAGUUUGCCUAUUUUAAUAUUCCAGUGAGUAAAUCUGAUCAAAUGCGCUUAAUUGAAAUAACUGUCUCCAUUCAGACACUUGAUUAAUAAAAAUUAAAGUUCAGACACUGAAUUGUCAAAUUUGAAACACAGUGAUGACUUUGAUAUUCUUUUCACCUGAUCAAAUAUGAAUGCAGGUCUACAAUGCCCUUGGUGUG
rnacentral:misc_RNA from 1 species